rnacentral:rRNA from 1 species
UUUUAUGAGAGUUUGAUCCUGGCUCAGGACGAACGCUGGCGGCGUGCCUAAUACAUGCAAGUCGAACGCUUCUUUUUCCACCGGAGCUUGCUCCACCGGAAAAAGAGGAGUGGCGAACGGGUGAGUAACACGUGGGUAACCUGCCCAUCAGAAGGGGAUAACACUUGGAAACAGGUGCUAAUACCGUAUAACAAUCGAAACCGCAUGGUUUUGAUUUGAAAGGCGCUUUCGGGUGUCGCUGAUGGAUGGACCCGCGGUGCAUUAGCUAGUUGGUGAGGUAACGGCUCACCAAGGCGACGAUGCAUAGCCGACC